NUUUUCCUCAUCCUCAUCCUUCUCCUCCUCAUCCUCGUCCUCAUCCUUCUUCUCCUCCUCCUCCUCCUCGUUGUCCUCCUCCUCCUCAUCCUCAUCAUCCUCCUUGUCCUUGUCCUCUCUCUUCCUCCUCCUAUUCCUCCUCUUCAUGCUUCUCUGCCUCCUCCUCUUCCUUGUCCUCCUCCUCCUCCUCAUCAUCCUUGUACUUGCCCUAGUCCUUGUUGUCCUCCUCCUCCUCCUAUUCCUCCUCCUGCUACUCCUCUUUUUCCUCCCCUCCUCAUCCUCCUUGUCAUUGUCCUACUCCUCCUCCUCCUCCUUAUCCUCAUUCUCCUCUUCCUCCUCGUUCUCCUCCUCAUCAUCAUCCUCUUUGUCCUCGUUCUCUCUCUUCCUCCUCCUCCUCCUCCUCGUCCUCCUCCUCCUCCUCUUCCUCCUCCUCCUCGUCUUCCUCCUCCUCCUCCUCAUCCUCCUUGUCCUCUGCAUCUUCAUCCUUUUCCUCAUCCUCAUCCUUCUUCUCCUCCUCCUCGUCCUCCUCCUCGUCCUCCUCCUCGUCCUCUUCGACCUCGUCCUCCUCGUCUUCAUCCUCGUCCUCCUCGUCCUCGUCCUCCUCCUCCUCCUCUUCCUCCUCCUCCUCGUCUUCCUCCUCCUCCUCCUCAUCCUCCUUGUCCUCUGCAUCUUCAUUCUUUUCCUCAUCCUUCUUAUCCUCCUCCUCGUCCUCCUCCUCGUCCUCCUCCUCAUCCUCUUCGACCUCGUCCUCCUCGUCUUCAUCCUCCUCCUCCUCGUCCUCAUGCUCCUCCUCCUCAUCCUCCUCCUCCUCAUCCUCCACCUACUCGUUCUCCUCGUCCUUGUCCUCCUCGACCUCCUCGUCCUCCUCCUCCUCCCCCUCUUCCUCGUCCUCCUCUUCCUCCUCCUCCUCGUCCUCCUCAUCCUCGUCCUCAUCCUCGUCUUCAUCCUCGUCCUCCUCGUCCUCCUCAUCCUCGUCCUCAUCCUCCUCCUCCUCAUCCUCCUCCUCCUCGUCCUUCUCCUCGUCCUCCUCCUCGUCCUCCUCGUCCUCUUCGACUUCAUCCACCUCGUCUUCGUCUGCUGCUGCUGUUGCCGCUGCUGCUGCUGUGCGGGUGCUGUUGCCAUCUCAGCCUGCGAGCUCCUGGGAGCUCAGGA
rnacentral:lncRNA from 1 species